rnacentral:rRNA from 1 species
AUGCCACCCGUCCUCCAGUUCAUCUGCCGUCCACACGGCCAGGUUCGCCGCCCCACGCCCCUGCCACCGCCUGUCGCAGGGCCGGUGACGUCUCUCCGACAGGGCCGCCGCCCCGAGGACCUCGGCCCCCCGCAGAAGAGGCAGGGCAGCCAGGGCCCCGCCGCCACCUUCCUCGGCGGCGCCCCGGGCUUGGCCUCAGGCGGCGGCGAGGGGGAAGGGAGGGGAAAAGAAGGUGGCGGCGCUAGGGUUUGGACCCCCGAGUCGCCCGAGCAGGGGCCAAUAUCUCGAGUUGCCCUUACCUAA